rnacentral:sRNA from 1 species
UAUAUAUACAUAUAUAUAUAUAUAUGAUUUAUUACAGUGACUAACAGGCUGUGGUUCAGCUGGUCCAACAAUGGCUGUUCUCAAUGGAAAGUCUAAGAAUCUAGUAGUUAUUCAGUCCAUGAAGUGAAUCCUGAAGAAUUUGGCCUGACAAAAGGCUAGAAAGUUUUUUUUCCCUGUCCCUUAUAUAGGUUGUCACAGGAAGAUAUGGCCUAUAUUUAGGGUGGGUCUUCUUGCUUCAAAUGGUCCAAUUAACUAAAAAUCCCUCUCAGUGUGCCCGGCGACUUGAGUUUUUAGUCAGUAUAGAUGUGGUCAAGUUGACAAUCAAGGAGAGUCAUCGCAAUUCUCCAAAUCCCAGUUCACCCACAGUGAGGCUUGGGCCAGGGCAUAAACCGGAAUGUCCGAAUGGACAAGAGAAGAUGGAGUAGAUAUGAGAGCUGGAGUUGGAGUGGGAAUCGGGAGGAGUGGGAAGAGAAAGUGAGCUGAAAGAGCGAGGUAAUGAAGAGGAGGGAGGGCGGGAGAGGGAGAGAUUGAGGUGGGAAGCUCAGGCCGUCUUUUUCCUAUUGGCAGUUACGACCAACCUCUCAGGAGUGACUCUCUGCCAGCCUGGCUGCUAAAUCACGGACACCAGCGUAAUUGAAACAGAAAAUCACGCCCGGCAGAACAGCCUAGCAACACCACUAUUAGCAGCUGUGGCUCUCCACUUCGAACCAGGGAGCUAAUACGCCUCUUUAUGCAUGCGCAGGCACUGCCAGAUAUAUAUCUUCACCAAUGUUUUCAUAGGGACUGGGCCUUCCCACUCCUUCCUGCCACCACGAAGCUGCUCACUCUGGGAAGACCGAACUUGUCUGUGGUACCUAAGGCUGCCCCACUGUGGGGCUGAUGCAAAACUCUUCUUCCCUCCCCCCUCCCUCCUUUCCUUCCUCCCUUCUUCCCCUUCUCGUCCAUCACUGAGCUUACGGUGGUGCUGAGGAAGCUGAAAACAGAGCAAUCACACAAACCUGGAGGUAAACUGCACCAAUUGCCCUAAUCAAGCAAGCUGCUCUCCAAAGGGAUCUGACACCUUGGAAUGAAGGAGGUCACGGUGAGAAAGGGAUAAAGAAACCAGGGUACAGGGAGAGAAGACUGUUCUACACGCCUACAGCUGGAACAAAGUUCUGGCCCAGGAGCUAGAGAAGCGCCUUGCUUUCCGAUGUGGACUUCUUCCUCAGCAGCCGCUGUGUGGGACAAAUACAAUCCAGAAACACAUUGAUUGGAUUCAGCUUGCCGGUGGUGAGUUUCCUUUGUGUUUUGUUUCUUUUCUGGGGUUUUUUGAACCUAUGUAUUCCUCUUUACCCUGGAGCCUCCCGCCCCAGAGUGAUCAAGCAACCUGUUGUCUGUCACUGUGGAGCUGGGGCCAGCUUGGUCUUCUUCCAGCUGUUGAUAACCCUUCCUCUCUGGUUCGCAGUGAACUUCUAUAACAUGGAGAAUUUAUGACUGAAAAUGCAGCUUGGCCCGAAUGCAGAGACCACUGACUUGGAAAGGAGAUUCACUAUCAUCGUGGCCAUUGUGAUUGUCACUGUCACUAACACAUUUUCAGAGCGGACCACAAGUACUUCUAAGCAAGAGCUCAGUUCAUCCCAUGACACAUUGAGGUCAUCCAUAGAGGAGGAAACUAAGGUUC